rnacentral:ncRNA from 2 species
GCGCUUCUGGCCGCCGAUGGUUCCCGGCAAAUGCGACGCCGGGUGAAAAGGGAACACGGUGCGGUGUAGCCAUCAGGCGCCAAUUCCGUGACUGCCCCCGCAACUGUAAGCGGCGAGCGACCCCCAAUGCCACUGGACCCCGAACUGCGGGGCCGGGAAGGCGGGGCAAGCUGCGACCCGCGAGUCAGGAGACCUGCCAUCGAGAACCGCAACAA